AGGGUGGCACAGAAUCGGAGGCCCCGACUGUUUACUUAAAACACAGACAUCUGCAACGAUUAAUUUCUUUGUAUAGGUGUUGAAUUUUGCCCGAUGCCAUUAAUAUAAGGUUAAUAGGCGCUUUGCGUUUUUAUUUUCUAAAAAUCUGGUCAAUGGCGGUCUUAUCCUGAGGAUCCUAAGGUAGCAAAAUUAAUUGUCCAUUAAAUGUGGUCCCGACUGAAUAAAGUAACGAUGGUCUCACUGUCUCUACAAGUAUCUCAGUGAAAUUGAAUU
rnacentral:rRNA from 1 species